rnacentral:rRNA from 1 species
GAUGAACGCUGGCGGCGUGCCUAAUACAUGCAAGUCGAGCGAACAGACGAGGAGCUUGCUCCUUCGACGUUAGCGGCGGACGGGUGAGUAACACGUAGGUAACCUACCUAUAAGACUGGGAUAACUUCGGGAAACCGGAGAUAACAUCGGAUAAUAUUUCGAACCGCAUGGUUCGAUAGUGAAAGAUGGCUUUGCUAUCACUUAUACAUGGACCUGCGCCGUAUUAGCUAGUUGGUAAGGUAACGGCUUACCAAGGCAACGAUACGUAGCCGACCUGAGAGGUGGAUCGGCCACACUGGAACUGAGACACGGUCCAGACUCCUACGGGAGGCAGCAGUAGGGAAUCUUCCGCAAUGGGCGAAAGCCUGACGGAGCAACGCCGCGUGAGUGAUGAAGGUCUUCGGAUCGUAAAACUCUGUUAUUAGGGAAGAACAAACGUGUAAGUAACUGUGCACGUCUUGACGGUACCUAAUCAGAAAGCCACGGCUAACUACGUG